UUUUUCUCCCAUCAGCCGCACACCCAUUCCACUUACUCUCUCUACUCUCAUUGCUCUGCGGUAACUCACCCCACCGAUGAACCCCACGCUCUGGCGAGCCACGUUAAUGGUAAGACUAUCGCCACCCCGACGAACCACGUCGCCAUACAGACGGCGACCACCACAUCUCCAUCAGACCAGCGUCGCUCUUCUCUCUCUAACCACCGACGAUAGACAACAAUGUUCGGCGAAACCCCGACUUCUGUCUGCGCCGCCUCCUUUCUCCUCGUUACAGCGAUUCCAGCAAACCAGCGCAACAUCGCACCAGCCGACGAACUCUCGAACAGACCAGCCGGCGAUGCCUCCGAGCCAACCACCGUCUCCACCGCCGAUGAACCCAAGACAGACGUCGGGCCCCCUCUCCAUCACAUGCAGCCGCCGUUGCUUUUCCCCCCACGCUGUCUCUUUCUUCUGCCCCCUCGCCGCCGCCUGCUCCGGUCAAAUUCACUAGAGAAUUGUUUAAAGGGCAUGGCGGAUUCAUUCGCCUCAGGUUUUCUCUCUUGUUUAAAGCAUCUUAAAUCUUCUUCUACCCUUUUUCUUCCUUGUACAGAUUCUUAGAUUCAAAACUGGUAAUUCUGGACGCUGGUUUCUGAUGUUAUUAGUGUAAUGGUAUAUUUUUCGUAAUCUGUUUUUUUACCCUAAAUGUACUUUUACUUACCGUUUUAGUUAGAAGUUCAAUAAUCCUGACUUAGUUACUAUCUUUCAUUCUGAAGUCAAAUUGUUAUAGUCUUUUUCACCACAUGGAUGUGAACUGUUUUGGCUAUGAUUUUGAAACAUCCUUUAAGUUUUAAAAACUUGAUAAAAAACAGCCCUCUGUUAUGUUUUCCAUCCAUUUCUAACAGAAGUUUGUUUAUUCAUGUGACCUUUUUACUCUUCUUUCCCUUUAAGUUCCUUAUUCUCCGUAAGAACACUAAAAACUUGCUUUGUAUUGUCUUUCUCCAAGAAAAUAAUUGUCCAUAGUUUUUUUUGCCCAAUUAUAUCUUCCUAUCUCUUUUAGAAUUUUGUAUUGAUGGUAUUAGAUAUAAUUUAGGACAUCUAGAAAGCUGCAGUAAUUAAGUACAGAAAUGUGACAUUCCACUAAUUGCUAAAGAUUUGUACAAAAUGCCAAAGAAUUACUUUCUCUGUUCAUCUUUAAUUGUCCAGUAUACUAGAAAUAGAUGUCCAACAAUAUCCUAGAAAUAGAUGUCCAACAAUAUCUAUUCAGUUUGAAAAAUCAAUGGAUAAUUUGCCAUUUUGAGUCAAUUUUACCUUUGCUAUUAAAUUCGUUGAAUUUUUCAAAGCAUUAACUUUAUAAUAUUUAAAUUUUGAUAUAGUAGAAUUGAACCUAUUAUUUAUUGUUUCUUAAGGUGUUUACCAAUUCAAUAUUCGGUAGGUAAAGAUUGACGAAGGGAGUAUUCAUGAGAUAAGCAAUGUGCAGAAUGCAAGAAAUGUGCAGUAGUGCAAAAUGUAUAAAAUAAUGUGCUCCCUUUGUUUCGUUUUACUUGACCCCUAUACUAAAAUAAUUGUCAUUUAAAUAUACCAUGAUUUUAUUACUGUUAUUUACUCCUAUCACACUAACCACAAAAUAUCACAAUAAAUAAAGCUACACACAAGACAAACUUCACUGGAGAAGACAAUUUUAAUUUCUAUGACCCUUUGGAGGCGGGAGAACGUAAACUCUCCAGAAAAAAAAGACAGAAGCUUGUGUCUUAUAAAACUCCCCUUAGAAUUAGACAUGGAAAAAGAAAGAAAUGAGUCACGUGAAUAAACAAUCUUCUGUUAGGAAUGGAUGAAAAACAUAACAGAGGGAUGCUUUUGGUCAAGUUUUUAAAACUUAAAGGAUGUUUCAAGUUAAGUUACUUAAAGUUUGGGUGAAACAAUAAGAAUGAAUUGGUCAAAAACUCUGGCUAUUACUCUCUCCUUAAAAAAAAAACUAUUAGCUGGUUCUACUACAAAGAAUAAAAAAUAUUUCUCAAGCUCUUUGGUGUCUCUUUUCGAAUUUAGUUAGUGAUUCCUGUUUGUGCCUGUAAUUUAAUUCGUGGAAUUAGUUAUACUAUACCAACUUGUAUCUCUUUUCUUAUUAAUUAACUCUCAUGUUUCAGUCAUGUACUUAUGUUCAUUUUCUUACUACAAUGUUAUUUAUGUACUCAUGGGGAACUUCAUAUGAAUGGUUUUCUUCAUUGAUGCAUGAUUAUAGUAUCUUGGCUCACCAUAUUGGUUAAUAGUAUUCAUUGUUUUUAACUCUGUUGUUUUCCAAUUCACAAGUUGAAUGAAUUGGAAAAAGACUGAAUACCAACAGUUCCUUAUUUCCUUGUCCGCUUCCAAAGGUCAGAUUCUUGUUUAUAUAUUCCUUAUGUUUUGCUUCCUUUCCAUAUCCACCCUUCCCCAAGUUUUAUGUUGUUUGCUUCAUCUAUUUCAUAUUACUUGGUCUUUAUAUCAAAAAUAUAUAUUUUAGUUUACUUGUCUACUUCAAAAAAAUUAAGAGAGUUUGAUUAUAGCUUUUUUCCUUUUUAUCCUCAAUAUUAAAUAACUAUAUAAAAUAUUAUUAGUCAAAUUUAGAUUCUAAAGUAUUAUUAACAACGUUAAUUUAAUGAAAUACUUCUAAUUUAGUAAUGGAUUAUAACUAUUGUGGUUUCUUGUAAUUAACUAAUUAGCACAUUGCAUUCAGUUUUUUUAAAGUAUUUAAUGGUUUAUAAGUUGUCAUCUAAUGCAGUUGACCAAGUGCAGCUAAACCUUGCUUAAACAGGCAACAAAGCCUGCCAUUCUGAUGAACUUGGAAUCUCGUAUGGUUGCAUCUGAAGAUAUUGGUAGACAACAUUUGACAUAUGGAGAGAGAUUGAUUAAUUAUUUCAGUCCAGUGAUGCAAAUCGAAAAUGCGCUUACUUUAUCCGUGGAUGGAGAAUCACCAUGCAAAUAUUUGAUAUCUUUUCAUAUUAGAUUUUUAUGGAGCUGAAGUUGUAAACUUUAGGUUAUUGAAAUUGAGAUUGUUAAUUAUGUGUGACAUGAAGUUAGAUUUGUACUGUUUUGUAUUCGGAAUAUUUUUAGUUUAGUUUAUGUUAUAAGUGGUUGUAUAUGUUGUAA